CUCUUUUCUAAGAAGACAUUCAUCUCUUUUCUGAGAAGGCAUUUCUGCAAAGGCAUUCAUCAUCAUCAGGCCUCCUGAGUAGCUGGAAUUACAGGAACUUCCAAGAUGGUGGUGAGCCGCUUCCAAGAUGGUGGCAGGCCGCUUCCAAGAUGGUGGCAGGCCGCUUCCAAGAUGGUGGCAAGUCUCGUGUUCUCUGACCUGGGGUUCUUGGCCUCAUGGAGUCCAAGGAAUGGAAUCUUGGGUCAUGCGGCUACAGCUGUCAUACUGAAAUCAUGAAGCUAAAGGCUACAGAGGGCUACUAGAAGCCUGAGUUUCUGAAGACUGUGUGGAACCAUCAAAGCAGCCCUGAAUAUUUCCCUUGAGACUUUUCCAUUAUAGGAAGGGCAAAUAAAUAGAUGAUGUAUGAUGUA
rnacentral:lncRNA from 10 species